CUUUCGUUUUUUUUUUGGCUCUAAAAAAAUAACAUCUUACCUUAGAUAUUUCGAUAAUUUUUCUUUCAAAAAAGCCAUUUAAAAUUGCGCUUAAAUAUGUGCUAGUACAAAACCCGUAAACAAAGCAUCUAAAGGUAUGCAACACCUACUUUAUAUAAAGCGCGUAGAAAUAUGCAAUGAAAUAUUGACAUUAUAAAAUAUUUUUCACCAAAGCCAACAUCAACAAAUGCCCAAUAAUGUGGAUAGUAACAGAAAGUAAAUAAUCUUUGCCUACGUUCAGGCACAUUUCAGCAGAAAUUUUUAAAAACAAACCACAAAUAGUGAUCAAAAAUAUUAAAUAAAAAAUGUGCGUUUAAUACUUGCAACAGUGCUGUAGUAUCACCGUAAACAACAGUUAAAAAUAUUAAUUUCAUUCCACUUGUAAUUUAGUCGUAAGUGUAACAAUGUCUCUUUGCCAAUACAAUCAUCAAGUUGUUGUGGAAUUACAACACAAAUCAAAAUCACUACAACGGCCGCUAGUGCCACAAUGUUGUUGUUGAUUAUAGUUAAAAUUGCAACCAAUAACAAAGAAACCUAGCAAAUACAACGUAACAAUCAGUUUGGCUCCAUCCACUUUAACCUAGUAUUACUGUCGGCUUGAUUGCCGGCGCAACAGUAGCAGCAACAAUAUGGCUGCCGUUGCUGGCCUCUAUGGUCUCGGCGAGGAUCGUCAGCAUCGCAAAAAGCAACAGCAACAACAGCAUCAUCAGCAGGAGCAACGUGAACAAAAGGAGGAGCAAAAGAAGAUCGCCGAGCGGAAAUUGUUGCGUGAACAGCAACAACAUCUGCUAUCACGUGCCUCAUUUGAAGGGUCUUUACCCAAAUUAAGCAGUCAAGACGAAGAAGGGGGGGCAGGUCAUGGGUAUGGUGGGGGGCCACAACACUUUGAACCCAUUCCUCAUGAUCAUGAUUUUUGCGAAAGAGUCGUUAUAAAUGUAAGCGGGUUAAGGUUCGAAACACAAUUACGAACGUUAAAUCAAUUUCCGGACACACUGCUGGGGGAUCCAGCUCGGCGAUUACGGUACUUUGACCCGCUUAGAAAUGAAUAUUUUUUUGACCGUAGUCGGCCGAGCUUCGAUGCAAUUUUAUACUAUUAUCAAAGUGGUGGUCGACUGCGGAGACCGGUCAAUGUCCCUUUAGACGUAUUUAGUGAAGAAAUAAAAUUUUAUGAAUUAGGUGAUCAAGCAAUUAAUAAAUUCAGAGAGGAUGAAGGCUUUAUUAAAGAAGAAGAAAGACCAUUGCCGGAUAAUGAGAAUCAAAGAAAAGUCUGGCUACUUUUCGAGUACCCGGAGAGUUCGCAAGCCGCCAGAGUUGUAGCCAUAAUUAGUGUAUUUGUUAUAUUGCUAUCAAUUGUUAUAUUUUGUCUAGAAACAUUACCCGAAUUUAAGCAUUACAAGGUGUUCAAUACAACAACAAAUGGCACAAAAAUCGAGGAAGACGAGGUGCCUGACAUCACAGAUCCUUUCUUCCUUAUAGAAACGUUAUGUAUUAUUUGGUUUACAUUUGAACUCACAGUCAGGUUCCUCGCAUGUCCGAAUAAGUUACAUUUCUGCAGGGAUGUCAUGAAUGUUAUCGACAUAAUCGCCAUCAUUCCGUAUUUUAUAACAUUGGCGACCGUCGUCGCCGAAGAGGAGGAUACGUUAAAUCUUCCAAAAGCGCCAGUCAGUCCACAGGACAAGUCAUCGAAUCAGGCUAUGUCCUUGGCAAUAUUACGAGUGAUACGAUUAGUUCGAGUAUUUCGAAUAUUUAAGUUAUCUAGGCAUUCGAAGGGUUUACAAAUUUUAGGACGAACUCUGAAAGCCUCAAUGCGGGAAUUAGGUUUACUUAUAUUUUUCUUAUUUAUAGGCGUUGUACUCUUCUCAUCGGCGGUUUAUUUUGCGGAAGCUGGAAGCGAAAAUUCCUUCUUCAAGUCCAUACCCGAUGCAUUUUGGUGGGCUGUCGUUACCAUGACAACCGUUGGAUAUGGUGACAUGACACCCGUCGGUGUUUGGGGUAAAAUCGUGGGAUCACUGUGUGCCAUUGCUGGUGUCUUGACAAUCGCUCUCCCGGUACCAGUUAUCGUCAGUAAUUUCAAUUACUUCUAUCACCGCGAAACGGAUCAAGAGGAGAUGCAGAGCCAAAACUUUAAUCACGUUACUAGUUGUCCAUAUUUACCAGGUACAUUAGUCCCGUCGGGUUCUGGGGCAAAAUUGUCGGUUCGCUGUGUGUGAUCGCUGGUGUAUUGACCAUCGCACUGCCCGUCCCUGUAAUCGUCAGCAAUUUCAAUUACUUCUAUCAUCGCGAAACCGAUCAGGAAGAGAUGCAGAGUCAAAAUUUCAAUCACGUCACAAGUUGUUCAUAUUUACCUGGUGCAUUGGGCCAACAUAUGAAGAAGUCUUCUAUGUCCGAAUCAUCAUCUGAUAUAAUGGAUUUAGAUGAUGGCAUCGAUGCUACAUCAGGUUUGACUGAUCAUCCUGGCCGACAUUUAGCUCCAUUUUUGCGAGCACAGCAAUCAUUCGAAAAGCAACAAUUACAAUUGCAACAACAACAGAAUGGCUUGCGUGGCCAAACAAAUACACUGCAACUGCGUCACAAUAGUGCCAUGGCCGUCAGCAUUGAAACUGACGUCUGACUACUGGUAAAACACUUGGAAAACGGCCUCAAUUGGCAACGUGAAAAGCUGCGUUGGAUGCCAGAAACGUCAUCGAAAGCGGUCUAAAACCGCUUCAGUGCAAAAUGAAGAAUCACUGCGGUUGAUGAGUAAGCAAAUGUUGCAAAAAGUAUAAACUGAAAAUAAGUGAAGAAACCACAAAAAAAAAGAAUAAGAAACAACCAAAACCCAAAGUUAGCUCAUUGUUAGCAAUGAAAAUACAAAAAGCGAAUAAUUUUUUUAGAACACAUUUAGAAAAUAUCAUAUUUAGCUACAGAAAAUUUAACUAAAAUGCAAACCAACAAGCAGUGUAAGAAUUAUAAAAACCAAAACAUAACGAGAAAUUAUUAAAUGGGAACAAACUAUUAUAGAUUUAAUUUUUUUGUGUAUUAGCGGCGAUAUUAGUAAAACAAAUCAAACUAAAAACAAUAUGUAUAGCGAAACUCAUCGAGAUAAAGCCAUAAAACUAUUUAAGUUAAUAUUUGUUUUAGUAAAAUUUAUUGUUUUUAGUUUUUAUUGAAUCAUUUUUAAAUAAAAAAGAAGAAAAUAUUGAAAACAUACAAACAGUUGUGCAGAGUGCUGCUUAAUAUUGCUUAAUAAGCUCAAAAAAGGGCUGUAUUAUGAAAUAAAUCUCAGCUGUUGUUAAUGCCUAGUUUACAUUAUGCCAAUACAGAUGCCGAACGAAUAUAUGACUCGCUAGCAUAAAGUUUAUUUUAAUACGAUCAUGUAUUGUAAUUAUAAGAAUGACUAGCUUUAUAGGCAUAUUGCAACCAAAGCAUUAGCCAACAAUAACCUAAAGUGUUUUACUUAAGCUUAGGGCCGAAGAGAAAGAAAAGAAAAUUGGCAACAGUGUUAUAAAAUGGCUUAAAUUCACAAGUGUUCAGCAAGAGGAAGCUACUGAGGUGUUUAAGAAAUUCUGAGUCCGUUAUAACAUUUUAAAUGCGUUCAGUGUACAUUACGCGUUAGUGAAUUGUCAAAGUACUCCAGAGUGCAUACAAAAAUUUAGUAAAUUUUUAGAUCAUCUUUUGUCUCAAAUAUAAAGUAUUUUCACCAUAAAAUGGUGUUAAAAGAAUUUUUUUAAAGUAAAUUUCGCGUUUGUGAGAAUGAACAACAAAUAGAAGUUUAUGGCGCACACGAAAUGUACUUCUAACAUAUUUCUCUUUAAAAAUUAGUCUACUUUUUUUUAAAUAUAUUUUCGAAAACUCCACUUCUUUUGUUACCACUCUUUUUAUACCUCAACAGGUUAUAUUAAGUUUGCCACGAAGUUUGUAACACCCAGAAGAAAACGUCAGAGGCCCCAUAAAAUAUAUACAUAUGUAUAUAUAAAAUAUCAGCGUCGCGUGCUAAGUCGAUUUAGCCAUAUCUGUCUAUAUGUACAUAUAUACGCGAACUUGCCCCUCAGUUUUUGAGAUAUUGAUCUGUUUUUUUUCGCCAAGAAACUGUUCAUAUAUAUAGGAUAUAGUAGCUGCCAUACAAACUUACCGAUCAAAAUCAAGUUCUUGUAUAAAAACCUUUUUUAUUUGACGACAAAUCUUUAAAAAAUUUUACAAAGAUUAUUGUCUGAAACAACGCUACUAUCUCCGAAGAAAUUUUGCAAAUUGGAUAUUAUAGCAUAUUGCUGCCAUAUGUCUGACCGAUCAAACUCACGUCCUUGUAUUGAAAACUCUUUUAGUUGACAAGAUAUCUUCGAAACUCAAGGCAGCGCUACAAUCUCGGAACAUAACGCUCAGAUCGCACCAUUAUAGCUUAUAGGUGCCAUACAAACAGAACGAUCGCAAUCAAGUGUUUGUAUAGAAAAAUUUUUCAUUUGACGAGGUAUCUUCAAGAUAUUUAGCAAAGAUUAUUAUUCAAGGCAUUGCUACAAUCUCCGAAGAAAUAGUUCAGAUCGGUCUACUAUAGCGUAUAGCUGCCGUACAAACUGAACGAUCAAAAUCAGAAUCAUCAGAAGAUCUUUUAAUACCCUUUUAUGAUAUAAGAAAUUCAUCUGUAAAGGGUAUUAUAGCUUUGUUGCAGUCGAAGUUUUGUUUUUUCUUGUUUUACUAUUCUUUUUGUUUCAAAUUAUUAUUAUCUAUAAAUCUCGAAGCUCCAAAUAAUGUUUGUAUGUUUUCUAAAAUAUAUUUUCUCUCAACAAAAGUUAUUAACUAUAAUAUAACGCAUUUCAGUCAGUUACCCACACACUCACACACAUAUACCGCACACAAAUUCAUGCAUACAGCCAUAAGUACGAUAAAUUAAUCAAUAAAACUGCCGUUAUGUUUAAAAUAUAAAUAAAAAAUACAAUGAAAUACAAACAAACUGCUCGUACUCGUACAUACAACAACAAAUAAUAAAAUAUAGAAUCAAAAUAAAGUAACAAAGCCUAAUAAAUAGAUAAAUUGUCGAAACAAAAACAAAAAACACAAAGCGCAAAAGCGUCAAUUUCAAUGCCACAAUAAUGAAAUCUUCUUUUGUAAAUACAAAAACAAUAAAUUACUGCAAUACAAAACUAAUAGUCAACUGCAACAAACGCUAUUAAAAAAUUAAUAAAUAAAGUAUCAGUAAACUUGUAAAUUAUAAAACUACUACAAUUAUAGCCAACAUAUGUUGAUUAUAAAUACUUUUUUUUAGUUUUGACUUGUCUCUUAUUUGUCUUUAACAUUUCGUAAAGUAGUUUAGUACUCAGUACUUAGUAAAUGUGUUUAUUGUUGAAUUUUAGCAAAAAUAUAUUAAAAUCUUCCAAGAAUAUAAUUAAAUUAGUAUGCGUAGUGUAUAUGUAUGAGUGUAUAGCAUUACCCGAAACUCUUAUGUAACUCUUCCACUAUUAUAUUGUGUAUGUAUGUAUGUAUAACAAUGAUUGCAUCCAUUUAGAUGCUGCCUAAUAAAUAUUUGUGUUCAUGCUGUAAAUUUAGUUAAAAAAAUAUCAAAAAAAUAUAUGUAUUUGUAGCUGCUGAACUAUUUUUAGAGUUUGCUCUAAGAAUAUCAUAAAAACUUUUGUUUUCAUUAAGUUUUUUUUUUCGUUCACAAACAAAAAUAAGUUCCAUAAUUUUUUUUGAUUCGUUAAUGCUUCAAUUGUUCUAAAGUCUUACCCUACAUAAAUAAAGUUUCAUAGGAUAUAUAUACUUCGUUGCUUUUAAGCUUAAGUUAUUUAGACUUCUGGUAAGCAAAUCAAUUCGCUGUUUAAACAGACAUUAAUGAGAUGAACUAAAACUGGAACUUCAUCUGGAUUAAAUGUAUAAUUCGCAGAGAGUAAAAUAACGCUGAGCCGAGACAGUUGUAUGUAUUCUAGGCUCUACAAGAUACAUAAGUUUGAGUGCGUUCACACACGGACGCUUUUCGCGCUCAUUAUCGGAAAAUUCUCUUUUUGUAUAGGGUUAUACUCUUUUUCGUUUAUUUUCAAUUCAAAACUUUGAAUUUUGAAUUAUUCUGAGCCUAAGCUUCAUUUCUACAAUUACACAAGUUUCAUAUUCUCGCCUCUCUGUAAAUAAACCGAGAUCAAAUCGUUAUUCUUUUAAUUUAGUUAUAACUGGCAUCUAAUAUAUCUAUGCCAUAUUGACAGAUGUAUAUUCGAUUCUACCCUAAGAUCUUUUUCAAUUCUCUUUUUAAAUUGCUCAAAUAGGAUAUCAAAUAAAGACAGGUAGUAAAUUUCUUUAUUUUACAAAUAUUAUAUUAUGUUUCAACUAAUAAAUAACGUUUAACAAAAGUAUCUCAUUAAAUUACCGAGGUUAUAUAAAAGAGUAGCUAAGACCAUAGCGUCAAUUUUUGUCAUUGGUAAUAUAAGAAUACUUUUUCCAAAUAUUUUGAAUAUUCUUCUCAAACAAUAUUACUUUAAAAUCCGUAAGGUCCCUCUGAGCCGUCUUAAAGAACGCUUUUAUUUCCGAAAUAAGUUAGCUUCUGAUCACUUGUUUCUACAUAAAGCAGAAGUCUAUUUUAGUCCUAUUGCGUUUGAAAUAUCUUCGAAACAUUUAAUUAUGUAUGUAUAAAUUUAAUCACUGGAAACUUCUAUUUGGAAUAUAAUUCAUUUCAGCCUCUAAAGUAAUUGACUAAAUUUUACAAAAAUAUAUUUUUUAUAAAAAAUAAUAAUACUUUGGAUUCAUCAUUUGAAAGAUUUAUACAUUUUUGGAUUAUUUCAAACUUUAUGCAAUAUUUGUUUAUAUAUUUUGGAUAUUUUUAUUGUUGUUUUAAUAAAUACCUUUUGUAAAAACAAUAACAAUGUAUAUUUUCCAUAGUGUGGCUUAUAAAUAUAAUUUGCCUGUUCGUGUAAAGAACACAUAUGUAUGUACAUACAUAUGUUUACUUGUAAAUAUUUAUUGUAAAAAGUAUGACAAGAAAUGGACAAAAAGAAAAAAUAUAUGCAAAGUAAAAAAAAAUUAUGAAAAAAUGGAGAGUAAAUAAAAAAACAAUUUUGAAGUUAUCUAAAAGCUUUGAAUACCGUCCACGCCAAAAAUAAAUAAAAUACUUAUCAAACAAGUAUAAGAAGAGGAAGCAAGUAAAGAUAAUGCACAUACAUAUUUUGCUUUUUUUUUUAAGUAAAUGUGGUGAAAAUGCUUGAAAAUGUUAGGCGAAUAAAUUUAGGGUUUUAAUGCUAAAAAAAAUAUAUUUGAUUAAUUUAUUACUAUUAUUAUUAUAUUUUAAUUUUUGCAUAUUUAAGGGUUUUUAUAACUUUUAUUAUUUUAUAUAUUUAUAUUAUUUUUUUUUUCAAUUGCAAUAUUUAAUUUUUUUUUUAAGUCAUAGAGAACUUCUAAAAAAAUUGCUAAAAACGCCAUUUGAUGCAUCAGUUUAAUUACAUAAUUAGAAAAACAACAUAUCGAUAUAGAAGUUUUGUGUAAAUUUUUCGUUUAAUUUAUAAAAUCAAAAAUCAAAACCAAAAAAAAGCUAAAAAAAAAAACACAAAAGCUGUGUAAAUGAUAUCACACAAGAAUAAAACUCAAUUAUGAAAUGAUGCGUGUUUAUAUUCUUAUUCAAAUUAUUAUUGUAAAUCCUAGACAUCAAAUUAAAUGGAAAUGUGUAAUAAAAAUAAAUCAA